ACAUCACGUUAUUCACCGUUUCCAUAUCCAUUUUUCUAAUUGAGGGACUGUGCUUAGUGCUUACAAGGCGUUCUCUGUGCCGUUGGAUUGCUACGAAUCGUGGCUUAAAGAUUCCUUUGUUUUUUACUUGUCUCAGAGAAGUGGAACCCCACAUCUAUACCUAUCACAGCAACAGAAUUACCUGGGAGAGGGCAGAGAACGACUUCAAUGGCGACUGAGAGCGAGAGAGAGGAGAGAGCUGGAGACGGCGGUGGUCUGAGAGCGAGAGGAGGUGACUGGUGAGAUAGAGGAGCGAGCUGGAGAAGGCAGUGGUAUGAGGGCGGAGCGGAGAGGCCGAGGAGAGAAGAGACUCCCAAUUCUUAAAAAUAGGGCAAACUGUGAUUUUUCAGUUUCUGAUAGACGUGAGAUGUAAAGUAUAUGGACUUUUUGCACUGCAUUAAAA
rnacentral:misc_RNA from 1 species